AACGAACGCUGGCGGCAGGCUUAACACAUGCAAGUCGAGCGCCCCGCAAGGGGAGCGGCAGACGGGUGAGUAGCGCGUGGGGACGUACUUUUUGGUUCGGAACAACUCCGGGAGACUGGAGCUAAUACCGGAUAAGCCCUAACGGGGAAAGAUUUAUCACCGAAAGCUCGGCCCACGUCUGAUUAGCUAGUUGGCGGGGUAACGGCUCUCCAAGGCGACGAUCUGUAGCUGGUAUGAAAGGAUGAUCCGCCACACUGGGACUGGGACAAGGCCCAGACUCCUACGAGAGGCAGCAGUGGGGAAUAUGGGACAAUGCGCGCAAGACGAAGCCAUCCAGGCCGCGUGAGUGAUGAAGGACUUAGGAUUGUAAAGCUCUUUUGUCCGGGAAGAUAAUAACUGUACCGAAAGAAUAGGCCCCGGCUAACUUCGU
rnacentral:rRNA from 1 species